rnacentral:rRNA from 1 species
CACCGAAUCCUGUAUCGUCCUGAUACUAGGAAAUGUGGUGUUUAGGCCGUGCUUUGUGCCGGUAUGAUUCUCCUCAAGUCCACUUGAUUGUGGCUUCAGGCCCAGAGAGGGUGUAAGGCCCGUGGAGGCGAGUCGUCCGGUGCCCGGCACGUCCUUAGAGUCGGGUUGUUUGGGAAUGCAGCCCAAAGCGGGUGGUAAACUCCAUCCAAGGCUAAAUACUAGCACGAGUCCGAUAGCGAAGAAGUACCGCGAGGGAAAGUUGAAAAGAACUUUGAAGAGAGAGUUCAAGAGUACGUGAAACCGCUGAGAGGCAAACUGGUGGAGCUGAAAUGGUCUUGAGGAAUUCAGCCCUUCCUGCUAGAGUUGACGUCGGUUGUGAGAUCUCACGACUCCGCUGGCGUUAUCUUCGUGAAGGAUAGGUGCACUUUCCUCUUGAUCGGACCACGACCAGCGACUUGUCUUGUUUGACGUGGGUCGGAAGGUAGCGUUGGCCUCGGUUAACGUGUUAUAGCCGCCUAUUCGGAUGAGCAGGGCGUUGGAUGCAUUCAGGCGCUUGCCCACUCAGGGCUCGUACGUUGUCACUUUCAGGCGUGUCGCCGGCUUCACUGCCUUUGGCAGGGGUGUUGGAGACGUGUCGGUUAGCGGCGGCCUCUGCGAUUGGCGUCGAAAGUCUGUGGUUAUGAAGUAGGCAGUCCACCUGACCCGUCUUGAAACACGGACCAAGGAGUCUAACAUGUGCGCGAGUCAUUGGGCUCUACGAAACCUAAAGGCGCAGUGAAAGUAAAGAUCCAUUCUGAUGGAUUGAGGUGGGAUCCUGAGUCACGUGCUCGGGCGCACUACCGGCCCGUUCGACAUGUCUUCAUGCGGGCGGAGCAAGAGCGUACACGUUGGGACCCGAAAGAUGGUGAACUAUGCUUGCGCA